rfam:Hordeum vulgare subsp. vulgare, WGS project CAJW01000000 data, contig: morex_contig_1569355
CAUAUACUCCCUCCGUCCGAAAAUACUUGUCAUAGGAAUGGAUAUAUCUAGAUGUACUUUAAUUCUAAAUAUAUCCAUUUGUAUACAUUUCUGCGACAAAUAAUUUCGGAUGGAGGGAGUACCAA